rnacentral:rRNA from 1 species
CCUACGGGGGGCAGCAGUGGGGAAUAUUGGACAAUGGGCGAAAGCCUGAUCCAGCCAUGCCGCGUGUGUGAAGAAGGCCUUCGGGUUGUAAAGCACUUUCAGUGGGGAAGAAAGCCUUGGGGCUAAUACCCUCGAGGAAGGACAUCACCCACAGAAGAAGCACCGGCUAACUCCGUGCCAGCAGCCGCGGUAAUACGGAGGGUGCGAGCGUUAAUCGGAAUUACUGGGCGUAAAGCGCGCGUAGGCGGUCUGAUAAGCCGGUUGUGAAAGCCCCGGGCUCAACCUGGGAACGGCAUCCGGAACUGUCAGGCUAGAGUGCAGGAGAGGAAGGUAGAAUUCCCGGUGUAGCGGUGAAAUGCGUAGAGAUCGGGAGGAAUACCAGUGGCGAAGGCGGUCUUCUGGACUGACACUGACGCUGAGGUGCGAAAGCGUGGGUAGCAAACAGGAUUAGAUACCCUGGUAGUC